rnacentral:rRNA from 1 species
GAAUUCGAUUAACGCGAAGAACCUUACCUGGGCUCGAAGCGCAGUGGAAUCCGGUGGAAACAUCGGCGCCCGCAAGGGCCGCUGCGGAGGUGCUGCAUGGCUGUCGUCAGCUCGUGUCGUGAGAUGUUGGGUUAAGUCCCGCAACGAGCGCAACCCUUAUCGUUAGUUGCCAUCGGGUCAAGCCGGGCACUCUAGCGAAACCGCCUCGGAUAACGGGGAGGAAGGUGGGGAUGACGUCAAGUCCUCAUGGCCUUUAUGUCCAGGGCUACACACGUGCUACAAUGGCCGGUACAAACCGUCGCAAACCCGCGAGGGGGAGCUAAUCGGAAAAAGCCGGCCUCAGUUCGGAUUGGAGUCUGCAACCCGACUCCAUGAAGCUGGAAUCGCUAGUAAUCGCAGAUCAGAACGCUGCGGUGAAUACGUUCCCGGGCCUUGUCACACCGAAUCACUA